rnacentral:rRNA from 1 species
UACCCGCUCCCCGAGUGGUGGGGGCUUUUACUGGGCCUAAAGCGCCCGUAGCCGGCUCGGCGUGUCUCUCGUUAAAUCCACAGGCCUAACCUGUGGGCCGCGGGAGAUACUGCCGAGCUUGGGGGUGGGAGAGGCGCCCGGUAUUCCCGGGGUAGGGGUAAAAUCCUCUGAUCCCGGGAGGACCACCAGUGGCGAAGGCGGGGCGCCAGAACACGCCCGACGGUGAGGGGCGAAAGCUGGGGGAGCAAACGGG